rnacentral:tRNA from 1 species
GCCUGGGUGGCUCCGUCGGUUAAGCGUCUGACUUCGGCUCAGGUUAUGAUUUCGCGAUUCGUGGGUUCGAGCCCCGCGUCGGGCU